GGUCAGCGACUUAUAUUCUGUAGCAAGGUUAACCGAAUAGGGGAGCCGAAGGGAAACCGAGUCUUAACCGGGCGUUAAGUUGCAGGGUAUAGACCCGAAACCCGGUGAUCUAGCCAUGGGCAGGUUGAAGGUUGGGUAACACUAACUGGAGGACCGAACCGACUAAUGUUGAAAAAUUAGCGGAUGACUUGUGGCUGGGGGUGAAAGGCCAAUCAAACCGGGAGAUAGCUGGUUCUCCCCGAAAGCUAUUUAGGUAGCGCCUCGUGAAUUCAUCUCCGGGGGUAGAGCACUGUUUCGGCAAGGGGGUCAUCCCGACUUACCAACCCGAUGCAAACUGCGAAUACCGGAGAAUGUUAUCACGGGAGACACACGGCGGGUGCUAACGUCCGUCGUGAAGAGGGAAACAACCCAGACCGCCAGCUAAGGUCCCAAAGUCAUGGUUAAGUGGGAAACGAUGUGGGAAGGCCCAGACAGCCAGGAUGUUGGCUUAGAAGCAGCCAUCAUUUAAAGAAAGCGUAAUAGCUCACUGGUCGAGUCGGCCUGCGCGGAAGAUGUAACGGGGCUAAACCAUGCACCGAAGCUGCGGCAGCGACACUGUGUGUUGUUGGGUAGGGGAGCGUUCUGUAAGCCUGUGAAGGUGUGCUGUGAGGCAUGCUGGAGGUAUCAGAAGUGCGAAUGCUGACAUAAGUAACGAUAAAGCGGGUGAAAAGCCCGCUCGCCGGAAGACCAAGGGUUCCUGUCCAACGUUAAUCGGGGCAGGGUGAGUCGACCCCUAAGGCGAGGCCGAAAGGCGUAGUCGAUGGGAAACAGGUUAAUAUUCCUGUACUUGGUGUUACUGCGAAGGGGGGACGGAGAAGGCUAUGUUGGCCGGGCGACGGUUGUCCCGGUUUAAGCGUGUAGGCUGGUUUUCCAGGCAAAUCCGGAAAAUCAAGGCUGAGGCGUGAUGACGAGGCACUACGGUGCUGAAGCAACAAAUGCCCUGCUUCCAGGAAAAGCCUCUAAGCAUCAGGUAACAUCAAAUCGUACCCCAAACCGACACAGGUGGUCAGGUAGAGAAUACCAAGGCGCUUGAGAGAACUCGGGUGAAGGAACUAGGCAAAAUGGUGCCGUAACUUCGGGAGAAGGCACGCUGAUAUGUAGGUGAAGUCCCUCGCGGAUGGAGCUGAAAUCAGUCGAAGAUACCAGCUGGCUGCAACUGUUUAUUAAAAACACAGCACUGUGCAAACACGAAAGUGGACGUAUACGGUGUGACGCCUGCCCGGUGCCGGAAGGUUAAUUGAUGGGGUCAGCGCAAGCGAAGCUCUUGAUCGAAGCCCCGGUAAACGGCGGCCGUAACUAUAACGGUCCUAAGGUAGCGAAAUUCCUUGUCGGGUAAGUUCCGACCUGCACGAAUGGCGUAAUGAUGGCCAGGCUGUCUCCACCCGAGACUCAGUGAAAUUGAACUCGCUGUGAAGAUGCAGUGUACCCGCGGCAAGACGGAAAGACCCCGUGAACCUUUACUAUAGCUUGACACUGAACAUUGAGCCUUGAUGUGUAGGAUAGGUGGGAGGCUUUGAAGUGUGGACGCCAGUCUGCAUGGAGCCGACCUUGAAAUACCACCCUUUAAUGUUUGAUGUUCUAACGUGGACCCGUGAUCCGGGUUGCGGACAGUGUCUGGUGGGUAGUUUGACUGGGGCGGUCUCCUCCUAAAGAGUAACGGAGGAGCACGAAGGUUGGCUAAUCCUGGUCGGACAUCAGGAGGUUAGUGCAAUGGCAUAAGCCAGCUUGACUGCGAGCGUGACGGCGCGAGCAGGUGCGAAAGCAGGUCAUAGUGAUCCGGUGGUUCUGAAUGGAAGGGCCAUCGCUCAACGGAUAAAAGGUACUCCGGGGAUAACAGGCUGAUACCGCCCAAGAGUUCAUAUCGACGGCGGUGUUUGGCACCUCGAUGUCGGCUCAUCACAUCCUGGGGCUGAAGUAGGUCCCAAGGGUAUGGCUGUUCGCCAUUUAAAGUGGUACGCGAGCUGGGUUUAGAACGUCGUGAGACAGUUCGGUCCCUAUCUGCCGUGGGCGCUGGAGAACUGAGGGGGGCUGCUCCUAGUACGAGAGGACCGGAGUGGACGCAUCACUGGUGUUCGGGUUGUCAUGCCAAUGGCACUGCCCGGUAGCUAAAUGCGGAAGAGAUAAGUGCUGAAAGCAUCUAAGCACGAAACUUGCCCCGAGAUGAGUUCUCCCUGACCCUUUAAGGGUCCUGAAGGAACGUUGAAGACGACGACGUUGAUAGGCCGGGUGUGUAAGCGCAGCGAUGCGUUGAGCUAACCGGUACUAAUGAACCGUGAGGCUUAACCUUACAACGCCGAAGGUGUUU
rnacentral:rRNA from 1 species